CGUUGUAUGGCCGAACUGGUGAAGGCAUCGCCGAUGACAGGCGAAGAUACGGGUUCGAGUCCCGCUGGAAUGG
rfam:Operophtera brumata OBRT01_Sc01369, whole genome shotgun sequence.